rnacentral:rRNA from 1 species
UACGGGGGGAGCAAGCGUUGUUCGGAUUUACUGGGCGUAAAGCGUCCGCAGGUGGCAGUUCAAGGCUGCUGUCAAAGACCGGGGCUUAACUUCGGAAAGGCAGUGGAAACUGAACAGCUAGAGUAUGGUAGGGGCAGAGGGAAUUCCUGGUGUAGCGGUGAAAUGCGUAGAGAUCAGGAAGAACAUCGGUGGCGAAGGCGCUCUGCUGGACCAUAACUGACACUCAGGGACGAAAGCUAGGGGAGCGAAUGGG